GUGGGGAAUUUUGGACAAUGGGCGCAAGCCUGAUCCAGCCAUUCCGCGUGCAGGACGAAGGCCUUCGGGUUGUAAACUGCUUUUGUACGGAACGAAAAAGCCUUGGCUAAUACCCAGGGUCCAUGACGGUACCGUAAGAAUAAGCACCGGCUAACUACGUGCCAGCAGCCGCGGUAAUACGUAGGGUGCAAGCGUUAAUCGGAAUUACUGGGCGUAAAGCGUGCGCAGGCGGUUAUAUAAGACAAAUGUGAAAUCCCCGGGCUCAACCUGGGAACUGCAUAUGUGACUGUAUAGCUAGAGUGCGGCAGAGGGGGAUGGAAUUCCGCGUGUAGCAGUGAAAUGCGUAGAUAUGCGGAGGAACACCGAUGGCGAAGGCAAUCCCCUGGGCCUGCACUGACGCUCAUGCACGAAAGCGUGGGGAGCAAACAGGAUUAGAUACCC
rnacentral:rRNA from 1 species